rnacentral:rRNA from 1 species
CGCGGCCUAUCAGCUUGUUGGUGAGGUAAUGGCUCACCAAGGCGUCGACGGGUAGCCGGCCUGAGAGGGUGACCGGCCACACUGGGACUGAGACACGGCCCAGACUCCUACGGGAGGCAGCAGUGGGGAAUAUUGCACAAUGGGCGGAAGCCUGAUGCAGCAACGCCGCGUGAGGGAUGACGGCCUUCGGGUUGUAAACCUCUUUUAGCAGGGAAGAAGCGAAAGUGACGGUACCUGCAGAAAAAGCGCCGGCUAACUACGUGCCAGCAGCCGCGGUAAUACGUAGGGCGCAAGCGUUAUCCGGAAUUAUUGGGCGUAAAGAGCUCGUAGGCGGUUUGUCGCGUCUGCUGUGAAAACCCGAGGCUCAACCUCGGGCCUGCAGUGGGUACGGGCAGACUAGAGUGCGGUAGGGGAGAUUGGAAUUCCUGGUGUAGCGGUGGAAUGCGCAGAUAUCAGGAGGAACACCGAUGGCGAAGGCAGAUCUCUGGGCCGUAACUGACGCUGAGGAGCGAAAGGGUGGGGAGCAAACAGGCUUAGAUACCCUGGUAGUCCACCCCGUAAACGUUGGGAACUAGUUGUGGGGUCCAUUCCACGGAUUCCGUGACGCAGCUAACGCAUUAAGUUCCCCGCCUGGGGAGUACGG